rnacentral:misc_RNA from 1 species
GCCGCCUAGCAGACCAGCGAUUCCUCCUUCCUCAUUAGAAACAUGCCGGGAAAGAAAAGAGCUGCAAAAAUCAAUUUAAAACACAGAUGAAAGCUCGCAUCAACAAAGGGAAAGAAUAAAUGCCUCCUCUCCUGUAGCCAAUAUAUCUAGAGUAAACACUUUCUCCUCAGAGGACACAGGAUCAAUGAGUUUUGCAGUAAAAUACAAA